rnacentral:miRNA from 1 species
UCCAAUUUCUCACCUACACCAGUGGCUACACCCGUCUCAAUUAUCUUACCUUUCUUUUGUUCUUAUUGUUUUGUUGUAAUUCCGUUAAAAUGAAUCGUACAAAAUUGAAAUUCGAAUAGAAAACUUAUAUUAAAAAAGAGAUAAUGGAGACGGGUGCAGCCACUGGUAUAGGUAAUUUAAU